UGGGCGUAACGUGCAAUAAACCAAUCAGAGCGUCAUCUCACAUUCCCUUUAAAAACAGGUGCGCUUGUUCCAUGGCGGAUUGCUAUUAUGACGGCGGAUUUGCCUGGCGCACGCCAGCGGGAGCUGUCCGGAAUGCGG